GCAGUAAACAGUCAUUUACCUCAAUUAAUUCAGCUAGCUAGAAGUUUAGUUUGCACUAGCCAACCAGAGGCUAAAAGGCAGGUGUGUCUGAGCUUCUGUUCUUAGGAUGUUUUGUGUGACUGCAGUUUGGGUUGUAAAUAUCUCCAGAGGUAGGCAAGACAGGUGAGUAAGAGGAGCUUUCUGCUCUGCACUGUGCUUGGUACUUCAUAUCCCUAUCUCACUUAAUUUAUUGUUUCCAUUUCAUAGAUGAGAAAACUGAAGGUCAAAGAGAUGAAAUAAUUUUCCUUGAUCAUGAAACUAUUAACCAAUAAAGUUGGGAUCUGACCCUUGAUCUGCUGAGUCCAAAAUCCUACAUGUGUUCUCCACUACUCUCUGCUAUUCUACAGGGAAAAAUAGAGGACCUCUUCUGCAGGUUAUAAAUACGUCUUUCCAAAGAAAAGAAAUGCUGGCCAACAGUGGCGGUGCUGGUAAUGGAGAAACACACCCAAGCCUCAAUCAUAACGAUUCCAGGAGACUUUUCGUAUAAUGAUAUUUCAAGGUAUAUGUUUUGACUUUGUAGUAGGCACAAAUGUAUGCAGUGAAUUGUAGAAGAGGAUUUUAUUGUUCUUACUGCGGAGCAUCUUAACUACUGCCCACGGCUUCAUUCUGAGAUAUACCCAGGCCCUCGCCACCCCCACCCCGAUGUUACCUCAAAGCAUUCUUCCCUGAGGACCCACGUGUAGUGGUGAGUCUUCAGCACACCUCCCACCUCUUUGCAUCAUCUAGGCUGUUGGAUAACUCUCCAGGUGCAGUUCUGGACCUUUCUCAUGAAGCAGUAGCUGCCCUGUGAGAAUUUUGCCAGA
rnacentral:lncRNA from 1 species